rnacentral:rRNA from 1 species
UACGUAGGGUGCGAGCGUUGUCCGGAAUUACUGGGUGUAAAGCGCGUGUAGGCGGCAGACCAAGUCGGCGGUGAAAGCGCCCGGCUCAACUGGGCGAGGUCCGUGGAAACUGGUCAGCUGGAGGACGGUAGAGGCGAGUGGAAUUCCCGGUGUAGUGGUGAAAUGCGUAGAGAUCGGGAGGAACACCUGUGGCGAAGGCGGCUCGCUGGGCCGGUCCUGACGCUGAGACGCGAAGGCGUGGGGAGCGAACGGG